rnacentral:rRNA from 1 species
CACGUAGGGUGCGAGCGUUGUCCGGAUUUACUGGGCGUAAAGAGCGCGCAGGCGGUCGUUCAAGUCGCGUGUGAAAGCCCCCGGCUCAACUGGGGAGGGUCACGCGAUACUGAUCGACUCGAAGGCAGGAGAGGGUAGUGGAAUUCCCGGUGUAGUGGUGAAAUGCGUAGAUAUCGGGAGGAACACCAGUGGCGAAGGCGACUACCUGGCCUGUUUCUUGACGCUGAGGCGCGAAAGCUAGGGGAGCAAACGGG